GAUUGGAUAGCUCAGUUGGUAAAGCAUGAGAUACUUUAUCUCAGGGCUGUGGGUUUGAGCUCCAUGUUGGGCA